UACGUAGGGGGCAAGCGUUGUCCGGAUUUAUUGGGCGUAAAGAGCGUGUAGGCGGCUUUACAGGUCCGUUGUGAAAACUCGAGGCUCAACCUCGAGACGCCGGUGGAAACCGUAAGGCUAGAGUCCGGAAGAGGAGAGUGGAAUUCCUGGUGUAGCGGUGAAAUGCGCAGAUAUCAGGAGGAACACCCGUGGCGAAAGCGGCUCUCUGGGACGGUACUGACGCUGAGGGACGAAAGCUAGGGGAGCGAAUGGG
rnacentral:rRNA from 1 species